rnacentral:rRNA from 1 species
GACGGAGGAUGCAAGUGUUAUCCGGAAUCACUGGGCGUAAAGCGUCUGUAGGUGGUCAAAUAAGUCAACUGUUAAAUCUUGAGGCUCAACCUCAAAAUCGCAGUCGAAACUAUUAGACUAGAGUAUAGUAGGGGUAAAGGGAAUUUCCAGUGGAGCGGUGAAAUGACGUAGAUAUUGGAAAGAACACCGAUGGCGAAGGCACUUUACUGGGCUAUUACUAACACUCAGAGACGAAAGCUAAGGGUAGCAAAUGGGG